AAAGUUUGAUCCUGGCUUGUUUGUUUAGCUUUAUUAUAAUAUUAAAUAUAAGUUUUUGUGUGAUUUAUUUUUCUAAAAGAUUAAUUUUGUUUUUGUUUUUAGUUUUUAAUUUUGGUUAUUGUAUAUUUAUUUAACCAGUUAUUGUUUAAUUUGAAUAGUAAAAUUUUGUGCCAGCAUAUGCGGUUAUACAAUUUAUUCUAGUUAAUUUUUUUGGCUAAUAUUAUUUAAUUUAUUUGAAAAUUAGUUUUGAUCUAUUAAGUGAAAUUUUAGUUUAUUUAUAAUUUUUGGGUUUUUAAUUAUAUGAAAUUCUAUUUUUAGACUAGGAUUAGAUACCCUAUUAUUUUGAAUGUAAAUUU
rnacentral:rRNA from 1 species